GUCUGGACUGUGUGUGUGUGUGUGUGUGUAGGGGACCUGAUGGUGACCCUAGUUGCAGGAGGAGGAGCCCCACGCACGUGUCUGGCCACAGCCGGUGGCACCCAUGGGCCUGGCGUCAGACCCUGCUAGUCACUCGACCUCUCAGUGCCUCGGUUUCUCCAUCUCUGAGGUGGGUGUGAUAACAGCACCUGUUCUGUAGACCUGUUAGGAGACAGCAGCAGCUAACACAUGCAGGAACACCUGGGACAGAGUGUCAGCUUGCUGUGAAGACCAGCCUUCAUCCUCAUGGCAGCAGCAGGCCGCAGGCUGCCCCUGGUGGCCUGGGGUCCCCUGCAGGGCUGGUGGAGGACUGGCCCAGAGCCGUGCCUUUGCCCAUGAGUGACAGCUGCUCCCGCUGGUCACUUUAAAGGACGGGCAGUGGGCAGGGCCCAGGCCCAGCCCCGUGGAUCCAGUCGGCAUGGCCUGCCCUGUGUACCCAUGCCCCUCUUGCUGUGUCUGUCCCCCCGUCCCCAGGGGAGGGGGUCUGGGCUGUCCCCUGCGUGUCUGCAGCUGAGGGUGGGCUGGCCCAUGCAGGGCAGAGGUGGGGCCUAGCCCUCGACUGCUCACCUUGAUGCUGUUCCCUGAGCCCCAUCUGGGAGCAAGAAUGGGGGAACUCGGGUCCUCAAAACAAGAUGUUUCCCCUCCCUUGGACCCCUGAGCCCAGCAGUGGGGUCGGUAUGUGUCUGAUGGUGGAUCUGAGUGAUCUCCGGGUGCUCAGUGGAGGGCAGACCCGGCAGCCUCCAGAUAGGAGAUUCACAGGGGGGUCACCUGUGUCUCCUGUAGUUGGACAGGGUGUGGGGCACCUGGAGCCCUCUCUUCCUGUGGGUGAGAGGGGGACACUUGGAAAAGCUAGAGCUGUUCUGGGCAAACGCUCAGCUAUCUCCUAAGGCAAGUGCACACCCACCCCAGGACCAGUGACUUCAGGAGUCGGAGGCCCCUCGAGAGCAGAGUGAACAUGCACACACGACUAUGCUGAAGACGGCAGCCUUCAAACCCCCCCACACUGGGAGCCAGCCUGGGGGUGGACAGCUGGUACACCUCCUUCCACAGGAGAGUAAACGGAGGCCGCUGGCUCAGGCUGCCCGAUUCCGGUGCCAUGGCAACCUCCAGCGUCACGUGCUAGACUACACCAUGCACCCACUUAAAGGGUCACCUCGACGGUCUUGGUUUAUCCAUGGACAAGAGCAGCCAUCACUCGAUCCAUUGUGGGGCAUUUUCAUCACCCCAGAGAGAAGCCCGUGCCGUUUACUGACGUUCUUCCCCGCCUGCCCACGGGCAGAUGUGCCUGUAAAGCUCAGUGUGGUGGUGAUCUCUAACCAGGGCUCCCUCUGGCUUGGUGCACUGACCUGUGGCCCAGGCUGCCCCCGCUGGUGGCUCCUGCCCCAGCUCCACUCUGCUGCUUGUCUGCCUGGCUCUGUUACCGAAAGGCCACUCAGAGGCAGGCAUGUGGGCCUGGGCCUCCACGUGCCCAGACCUGCCUGUGCCUUAGAGUCUCCCUGGAGCCACCGAGAACAUGAAUAUAAACUAGGAGACAAAGGGGGUGCCUCAUCUUGACCAUUGGAGACUCACCAGGGCCCCAGGUCACAGCACAGUUUGCCCUGAAAUCUCCCAUGGUGAGCGUGAUGCUCCACCCAGCCUGGGGCUCCAGGGACCACAUCCCAGGGUAAAAUAGUUACUGUGGCCCAAUGUGAGUCCAGAAGAGGUCCUCAAAUUUGCUGCACGUUGAGCUAGUGAAGGAGCAGUUAUUCCUAAGCUUCUCUGUUUGUAGGUCUGUUGUCCACUGUGAAACCCAGGUCACUGCUUCUGUGGGCCCAUUGCAGCCGCGGGGGCCUCACCCUAGGGGCCCCAGGCAGGUGUUCGCCCCAGCUGCUCCCCCGCCCCAC